UGGGCCAUAGCCAAGCGGUAAGGCAACGGGUUUUGGUCUCGUGAUUCUCAGGUUCGAAUCCUGAUGGCCCAGCCA
rnacentral:tRNA from 2 species